rnacentral:rRNA from 1 species
GACAGAGGGUGCAAGCGUUGUUCGGAAUCAUUGGGCGUAAAGCGCGCGUAGGCGGCUUUGUAAGUUAGAGGUGAAAGCCCGGGGCUCAACUCCGGAACUGCCUUUAAGACUGCAUCGCUUGAAUCCGGGAGAGGUGAGUGGAAUUCCGAGUGUAGAGGUGAAAUUCGUAGAUAUUCGGAAGAACACCGGUGGCGAAGGCGGCUCACUGGCCCGGAACUGACGCUGAGGCACGAAAGCGUGGGGAGCAAACAGG